UAGGGAAUCUUCCACAAUGGACGCAAGUCUGAUGGAGCAACGCCGCGUGAGUGAAGAAGGUUUUCGGACCGUAAAGCUCUGUUGUUGGUGAAGAAGGAUAGAGGUAGUAACUGGCCUUUAUUUGACGGUAAUCAACCAGAAAGUCACGGCUAACUACGUGCCAGCAGCCGCGGUAAUACGUAGGUGGCAAGCGUUGUCCGGAUUUAUUGGGCGUAAAGCGAGCGCAGACGGAAGAAUAAGUCUGAUGUGAAAGCCCUCGGCUUAACCGAGGAAUUGCAUCGGAAACUGUUUUUCUUGAGUGCAGAAGAGGAGAGUAGAACUCCAUGUGUAGCGGUGGAAUGCGUAGAUAUAUGGAAGAAUACCAGUGGCGAAGGCGGCUCUCUGGUCUGCAACUGACGCUGAGGCUCGAAAGCAUGGGUAGCGAACAGGAUUAGAUACCCUGGUAGUCCAUGCCGUAAACGAUGAGUGCUAAGUGUUGGGAGGCUUCCGCCUCUCAGUGCUGCAGCUAACGCAUUAAGCACUCCGCCUGGGGGAGUACGACCGCAAGGUUGAAAC
rnacentral:rRNA from 1 species